GUCACCAGGCGGCCCCAGCCCUGCGCUUCUGUCCCUCUCCCCCGCAGCAGGAUCCGCGGCUUUCCUCGACAGAGCGGGUGUCUGCGAGGGUUUCCGCGGAAUACUGAAAGAGGAGCUCGUCACCUGUCACAGGAGCGAUGACAGACGUCCGUGUGGCACGGGGCCUGGGGCUGAGAGGUGCUGAGAGACAAGGGACGUUCACAGCAAGACUCUCCUCCCGCCGGCUCACGCACACGGGCACCCUGUCUAGAAGCAGGACCCGCCAUCUGCUCCAGAGUCUGCUCUCCCUCCCAGCAAGGUCUCCAGAGGGGGCCAGUAUGCGCGCAGCACAGGACAGAGCCGGGAGGCUGGGCUGCAGCGUCCACAGACCCGCAGAGCAGUGGCAGGGCUGGGGAGGGGCAGCAGUGACGGCCAGCCUGGGGGUCUCCGAGGUGUCAGCAUCUCACGCCAUGUGACCAGCCUGAGCCUGCUCCUGCGUUAGCUCCUGGCCGGCAGGGAGCGGGGCUGCAGCGGGCCACCCAGGACGCCGUCGGCACGUCCACCCUGCAGGACCUUCUGUAGAGCAGCCUCCUGUGUCCACCAGAAGUUGCAAGGAUGAGACGAGUGUCCACGAUGCAGUGGCCACAGCCCGAUUGCCUGGGGUGGGCUGAGGAGGGGCCACUGAGGAGGGAGGUCACUGGUCAGCCAGGGCAAGAUCCUCUGCUGCAUGGACCGUGGCCAGUGCCUGACCAGCUCUGGGCCACACGAGUGGCAGCAACAGUCUUCUGUUAGGAGAGAGGGACAAGAGGACCUGGGUCGGGCUCCAGGGGGCAGCAGCUGUGUGUGGACAUGAAGUGGACGCUGGCAAUUAUUAAAAUCUGUGUGUGGCCUGCUGUGCACGGGCUGUGUGUGCUGUGCACAGGGGGUGGCGUGUGCAUAGGUGGGGCAUUCUGUACCUAGUGUGCACGUGUGCCGUGUGGCGACACAGGUGUGCUGCUGCACGUGACAGUCUGUGUGUGGUGCUGGGUGUGCCUGGUGUGUGUUAUAUGUGCAUGGCACAUGCUGGGUGUGCCCGGUGUGUGCUGGGUGUGCACGGCGAGUGCUGUGCCUGC
rnacentral:lncRNA from 1 species